UACGUAGGGGGCAAGCGUUGUCCGGAAUCAUUGGGCGUAAAGGGCUCGUAGGCGGUUUGUCGCGUCGGGAGUGAAAAUCCAGGGCUUAACUCUGGACUGGCUUCCGAUACGGGCAGACUAGAGGUAUGCAGGGGAGAACGGAAUUCCUGGUGUAGCGGUGAAAUGCGCAGAUAUCAGGAGGAACACCGGUGGCGAAGGCGGUUCUCUGGGCAUUACCUGACGCUGAGGAGCGAAAGUGUGGGGAGCGAACAGG
rnacentral:rRNA from 1 species